GUUGGCUGGACUGGUUUACAUAAUUUUCAGCAAGUCCAGAGCUCUGCAGUUUGCAUCCCUGGAUGAAGUCUGUCAGCCAAGUGAAAAUCUGUUGAGACAAAUAUAGACUCGGGACAGAAGGGUGUUUUCUGGGACCAGCUGGCCUCCUUUCUCCACACUCCAUGAAGAGAUGGGCUGGCCUACAACUACUGCUAGGAACUCCAGGUAAGUGGCUGAGCCUAGGUAGGCACCAGUUGUCACUUGAGCAGAGAGCUGGUGUGUGGCUAACAGCCUGGCCUGUGAGAAGGGAUGCCCCUCUAUUAUUAGAUAUUAGGGGGCAAAGGAGUGGGGAACAGGAUACGAUACUUUUCAUUACUGUCUCUGCCAGUGUCAUAUGACCCUAAGGGUCAGGCCAUAUGGGAGAAUUCCCAGUUAGGGAGGCAGAAACCAGUGGAAUAUGGCAUUCAUGGCAUGUGGCAUGGCAUGGCAUGUCCUUGUCAUGUCCUCAGCUCUUUGGCUGCCCCAACGACUCAGGUUCCAGGUCAGUUUUGUCCCAGGUUCACAUGGGGACCAGAACCCACAGUGCACGUGUUGGGGCUGUGGAAAGGAGAAGGCCUCUGCCUUGUGGGACCUGCAUGCUGCCCAUACCCACAAUUCUGUUUUCCAUCCCAUGUGUCCUUCCCAGAGUGCAGGCCAACAGCUUGUGGAGGCUGUGGUUCUGCUGGAAAGCCAGGGCCUUGGCCAGGAAAGUUGAUUUUCUCCGCCUAAGACCAGAAUCUGCUGAGGGCUGGCAACCGACUGGGAAACCUUUAGCUCCCCUGUCAUUGACUCUAGCAGCAGUCUCUGCGGGGAAGGAGUAGGUGGGGGAAGGGUGCGGGGAGGGGGAGGGGAGAUCUUUGCAGAGGCUAAUGCAGGCUCACCCUAUGGAUGAGACCAAACAGAGCAGGCAGGUUGCUGGAGGGCACAUGGCUGGGUAUUCCACAGAAAUGAAGGUGGUGACUAGAGAGUCCCACUCAGAAAGGGGAGACAUGGCAAGGACUAGGAAGGCAGUGUCAGUAUUGGUGGACCCUAGAAGGGGACAUGACAUCAUUCCUCCUGAAUAGACAGCAUAGUUGAAACAGAAAUCGAGCUUUAAAGAGACAAUGGCGACUCAUGCUCUAGCAUUCAAGAUGACGGCCCAGAAAGGUAGACUCCAUCUUGUAAGUGGAGAGGGCUAGGACAUGGUCAGGAAACACUGUCUGUAUUCUCAAGUUGUCUCUGCGGG
rnacentral:lncRNA from 1 species